rnacentral:rRNA from 1 species
UACGUAGGGUGCAAGCGUUGUCCGGAAUUAUUGGGCGUAAAGAGCUCGUAGGCGGUUUGUCGCGUCGAAUGUGAAAACCCGGGGCUCAACCCCGGGCCUGCAUUCGAUACGGGCAGACUAGAGUUCGGUAGGGGAGUCUGGAAUUCCUGGUGUAGCGGUGAAAUGCGCAGAUAUCAGGAGGAACACCAAUGGCGAAGGCAGCUCGCUGGGACGGUACUGACGCUGAGGCGCGAAAGCCAGGGGAGCGAACGGG